rnacentral:rRNA from 1 species
UUCGCCCUUAGAGUUUGAUCCUGGCUCAGGACGAACGCUGGCGGCGUGCUUAACACAUGCAAGUCGAACGGAGCACCCUUGAAAGAGUUUUCGGACAAUGGAGAGGAAUGCUUAGUGGCGGACUGGUGAGUAACGCGUGAGGAACCUGCCUUCCAGAGGGGGACAACAGUUGGAAACGACUGCUAAUACCGCAUGACAUAUCGAAAUCGCAUGGUUUUGAUAUCAAAGAUUUAUCGCUGGAAGAUGGCCUCGCGUCUGAUUAGCUAGUAGGCGGGGUAACGGCCCACCUAGGCGACGAUCAGUAGCCGGACUGAGAGGUUGACCGGCCACAUUGGGACUGAGAUACGGCCCAGACUCCUACGGAGGCAGCAGUGGGGAAUAUUGGGCAAUGGGCGCAAGCCUGACCCAGCAACGCCGCGUGAAGGAAGAAGGCUUUCGGGUUGUAAACUUCUUUUCUCAGGGACGAAGAAAGUGACGGUACCUGAGGAAUAAGCCACGGCUAACUACGUGCCAGCAGCCGCGGUAAUACGUAGGUGGCAAGCGUUAUCCGGAUUUACUGGGUGUAAAGGGCGUGUAGGCGGGAAAGCAAGUCAGAUGUGAAAACCACGGGCUCAACCUGUGGCCUGCAUUUGAAACUGUUUUUCUUGAGUACUGGAGAGGCAGACGGAAUUCCUAGUGUAGCGGUGAAAUGCGUAGAUAUUAGGAGAAACACCAGUGGCGAAGGCGGUCUGCUGGACAGCAACUGACGCUGAGGCGCGAAAGCGUGGGGAGCAAACAGGAUUAGAUACCCUGGUAGUCCACGCUGUAAACGAUGGAUACUAGGUGUGGGGGGACUGACCCCCUCCGUGCCGCAGUUAACACAAUAAGUAUCCCACCUGGGGAGUACGAUCGCAAGGUUGAAACUCAAAGGAAUUGACGGGGGCCCGCACAAGCGGUGGAGUAUGUGGUUUAAUUCGAAGCAACGCGAAGAACCUUACCAGGGCUUGACAUCCCGGUGACCGCUGUAGAGAUACAGUUUUCCCUUCGGGGACACCGGUGACAGGUGGUGCACGGUUGUCGUCAGCUCGUGUCGUGAGAUGUUGGGUUAAGUCCCGCAACGAGCGCAACCCUUAUUGUUAGUUGCUACGCAAGAGCACUCUAGCGAGACUGCCGUUGACAAAACGGAGGAAGGUGGGGACGACGUCAAAUCAUCAUGCCCCUUAUGUCCUGGGCCACACACGUACUACAAUGGUGGUAAACAGAGGGAAGCAAUACCGCGAGGUGGAGCAAAUCCCUAAAAGCCAUCCCAGUUCGGAUCGCAGGCUGCAACCCGCCUGCGUGAAGUUGGAAUCGCUAGUAAUCGCGGAUCAGCAUGCCGCGGUGAAUACGUUCCCGGGCCUUGCACUCACCGCCCGUCA